rnacentral:rRNA from 1 species
UACGUAGGGUGCGAGCGUUGUUCGGAAUUACUGGGCGUAAAGGGCUCGUAGGCGGCCAACUAAGUCAGACGUGAAAUCCCUCAGCUUAACUGGGGAACUGCGUCUGAUACUGGAUGGCUUGAGAUUGGGAGAGGGAUGCGGAAUUCCAGGUGUAGCGGUGAAAUGCGUAGAUAUCUGGAGGAACACCGGUGGCGAAGGCGGCAUCCUGGACCAAUAUUGACGCUGAGGAGCGAAA